rnacentral:rRNA from 1 species
GAGUUGUGGUUAGGGGUGAAAUGCCAAUCGAACUCGGAGCUAGCUGGUUCUCCCCGAAAUGCGUUGAGGCGCAGCGAUUGACGAUGAGCUGCCUAGGGGUAAAGCACUGUUUCGGUGCGGGCUGCGAGAGCGGUACCAAAUCGUAGCAAACUAAGAAUACUAGGCAUGUCCUUCCGGCAAUCAGUGAGACAGUGGGGGAUAAGCUCCAUUGUCAAGAGGGAAACAGCCCAGAUCACCAGCUAAGGCCCCAAAAUGAUCGCUAAGUGGAAAAGGAGGUGAGAGUGCAGAAACAGCCAGAAGGUUUGCUUAGAAGCAGCCAUCCUUUAAAGAGUGCGUAAUAGCUCACUGGUGGAGCGUUCUCGCGCCGAAAAUUUACGGGACUAAGCGGUCUGCCGAAGCUGUGGGAUAGAUGCUAACUAAGAUCACACGUCAGUGUGAUGUAUAGAUUUGUUUGAGAGUCUGUUUAUUUUGCCAUCACUUUGCAUGCAAAGUGAAGAAAAUGAUGACAAAACAUUCAAGAAAGAUGCAUGUAUCGGUAGGGGAGCGUUCCGCUCUAGGGUGAAGCAAGGGUGUAAACACUUGUGGACGAAGCGGAAGUGAGAAUGUCGGCUUGAGUAACGCAAACAUUGGUGAGAAUCCAAUGCCCCGAAAACCUAAGGCUUCCUUCACUAGGUUCGUCCAUGGAGGGUUAGUCGGGUCCUAAGGCAAGGCCGAAGGGCGUAGUCGAUGGAAAACAGGUUAAUAUUCCUGUACUUCCUCUUGGUAGGCACCGAGGGACGAAGGAGGCACGAGAUGGCUAAAAUUGGAUUUUAGUGGAAGUGUACAAGGCAAAGAGGACCAGAAGAGAAACUGAGUCUAAGCUGAGUCACCACACGGCCCCACAACUAGUCGAUCCCCUGUGGAUUUGCUUAGUGGGGCUUAUCUCUCCCUGUCAAACUUCCUAGAAAAGCUCGAACUGCUUUGUUACCAAGAAGAACCCGUACCCCAAACCGACACAGGUAGGUGGGUAGAGAAUACCUAGGGGCGCGAGAUAACUCUCUCUAAGGAACUCGGCAAAAUGGCCCCGUAACUUCGGGAGAAGGGGUGCCCCCGCAAGGGGGCCGCAGUGACCAGGCCCAGGCGACUGUUUACCAAAAACACAGGUCUCCGCUAAGUCGCAAGACAACAUAUGGGGGCUGACGCCUGCCCGGUGCCGGAAGGUGAAGGAAGUUGGUUAUCCCUUGGGAGAAGCUGGCGACCGAAGCCCCGGUGAACGGCGGCCGUAACUAUGACGGUCCUAAGGUAGCGAAAUUCCUUGUCGGGUAAGUUCCGACCCGCACGAAAGGCGUAACGAUCUGGGCACUGUCUCAGAGAGAGACUCGGUGAAAUAGACAUGUCCGUGAAGAUGCGGGCUUCCUACACCUGGACAGAAAGACCCUAUGAAGCUUUACUGUAGCUUGGAAUUGGGUUUGGGCCCCUUUUGCGCAGCCUAGGUGGGAGGCUAUGAGAGUCCUCUUCCGGGAGGGCUGGAGCCAUCAGUGAGAGACCACUCUGGAGGGGCUAGAAUCCUAACGGUGUUCCUUGAAACAGGACGCUUAACAGUUUCAGGUGGGCAGUUUGACUGGGGCGGUCACCUCCUAAAAGGUAACGGAGGUGUGCAAAGGUUCCCUCAGGCUGGACGGAAAUCAGCCGUAGAGUGUAAAGGCAUAAGGGAGCUUGACUGCAAGACCUACAAGUCGAGCAGGGGCGAAAGCCGGCCUUAGUGAUCCGACGGUGCCGCGUGGAAGGGCCGUCGCUCAACGGAUAAAAGUUACUCUAGGGAUAACAGGCUGAUCUUCCCCAAGAGUUCACAUCGACGGGAAGGUUUGGCACCUCGAUGUCGGCUCAUCGCAACCUGGGGCGGUAGUACGUCCCAAGGGUUGGGCUGUUCGCCCAUGAAAGCGGUACGUGAGCUGGGUUCAGAACGUCGUGAGACAGUUCGGUCCAUAUCCGA